rnacentral:tRNA from 1 species
CAGCCAGUACGGAGUAGUCAAGCGCAUCUCCGUAUCAAGGAGUCUGUCGCGGGUUCGAAUCCCGCCUGGUUGG